GAUGAACGCUAGCGGCAGGCUUAAUACAUGCAAGUCGAGGGGUAGCAAGAUUGUAGCAAUACAAUUGUUGACGACCGGCAAACGGGUGCGGAACACGUACACAACCUUCCUACAAGUGGGGAAUAGCCCAGAGAAAUUUGGAUUAAUACCCCGUAACAUAGCGAUGUGGCAUCACAUUGCUAUUAUAGCUUCGGCGCUUGUUGAUGGGUGUGCGGCUGAUUAGAUAGUUGGCGGGGUAACGGCCCACCAAGUCUACGAUCAGUAGCUGAUGUGAGAGCAUGAUCAGCCACACGGGCACUGAGACACGUGCCCGACUCCUCCGGGAGGCAGCAGUAAGGAAUAUUGGACAAUGGACGCAAGUCUGAUCCAGCCAUGCCGCGUGAAGGAUUAAGGUCCUCUGGAUUGUAAACUUCUUUUAUAAGGGACGAAAAAAGGUCUUUCUAGAUCGUCUGACGGUACCUUAUGAAUAAGCACCGGCUAACUCCGUGCCAGCCGCCGCGGUAACAC
rnacentral:rRNA from 1 species